rnacentral:rRNA from 1 species
UACGAAGGGGGCUAGCGUUGCUCGGAAUCACUGGGCGUAAAGCGCACGUAGGCGGAUCUUUAAGUCAGGGGUGAAAUCCUGGAGCUCAACUCCAGAACUGCCUUUGAUACUGGGGAUCUCGAGUCCGGAAGAGGGUGAGUGGAACUCCGAGUGUAGAGGUGAAAUUCGUAGAUAUUCGGAAGAACACCAGUGGCGAAGGCGGCUCACUGGUCCGGUACUGACGCUGAGGUGCGAAAGCGUGGGGGAGCAAACAGGGAUUAAGAAA